rnacentral:rRNA from 1 species
AGAGUUUGAUCAUGGCUCAGGACGAACGCUGGCGGCGCGCUUAACACAUGCAAGUCGAGCGAGAACCAGUCCUUCGGGACUGGGGAAAGCGGCGAACGGGUGAGUAACACGUGGGUAACCUGCCUCGAUGACCGGGACAACCCGGGGAAACCCGGGCUAAUACCGGAUGUGCUCCCUCACAUCAGUGAGGAUAGGAAAGGAAGCUUCGGCCUCCGCAUCGAGAUGGGCCCGCGGCCCAUUAGCUUGUUGGUGAGGUAAUGGCUCACCAAGGCUGCGAUGGGUAGCUGGUCUGAGAGGACGAUCAGCCACACUGGGACUGAGACACGGCCCAGACUCCUACGGGAGGCAGCAGUAGGGAAUCUUGCGCAAUGGGCGAAAGCCUGACGCAGCGACGCCGCGUGCGGGAAGAAGGCCUUCGGGUUGUAAACCGCUUUCAGGAGGGACGAAGCCACUCGGGUUAAUAGCCCAGAGGGUGACGGUACCUCCAGAAGAAGCCCCGGCUAACUACGUGCCAGCAGCGGCGGUAAUAC